ensembl:snoRNA small nucleolar RNA SNORA51
GACCUCCUUGUGCUUACCACAGGCUGUGUUCUUACACUGACUGUAUAGAAAAGGGGGCAGUAUAAAACUACCCCAUAUAUACCUCGGCCUAGGCCAUUGUGCCUGCUUUGUAUUGUGAAUAGAGAGACUUGG